rnacentral:lncRNA from 1 species
GUGGCAAACGGUGGGGGGAACAAUCAAGACGGACCCAAAGCGGUUGCAGCAGAGAGGGAGGCAUCCAAUCCCGUCCACCAGCCCCCAAAGGCCGUCGUCCUGCCUGGAGAACCUAGCAGUGCUAGGAAACUGACUUUUCUCAAAAAUGAACUCUCCCUACCAAUCUGCACCAUGAAAUUAUUUCAGCAAACAAAAAAUAAUGGUUGCCCAUCACCGCACACUGCGUGUGACUCAGCCAUCACUCACAGGCAAAGAAGGGUGUUCUCUCCUCUCCCUGUCAGUUACUAAUUCUCUGUAAAUGACCAUUUGACAUCCUGGCCGGGGAGGAUUCAGAUCAGAGAUGACUUCCCCACUGCCACAAAGUAUGGUUCUGGGAAGGACAACCAGCCCCAAGGCCACGAAGAUUCUGAAAAAGUUUCUUCUCAUUUGAAGUCCA